AUGUUUGGUCCAUUUUCCCAAAGAUUGAGGCCAUUAAAAACCACAAUCAGGACACAAGAUCUGUUGGCUCUUUGGAUGUGGAUGUGUGCCAAAUCAACAAAGAGCUUUGGGGCUCUACAGUGAAGUUGGCAUCCUGUCAUCACGGCAUUGAGCUGCAAGAGCAUUUUUCCAAGUCCCAACGGUGUCAACAGAAAACCCCGAACAUCUCAAGAGAGCCGAUAGUGUCAUGUGCGUCUGUUCAACACCAGCAAUCACCCGUGCCAUUAAAGAUUGAAGAGCAACAGUCUCUUUCAGCACACUAACAUUACGCCAAGGCAAACAGCAAGAGUGGAGACUGGAGAAAAGAAAAGGGCAGCGAGAAAGCUAGAAAUAGACAUUGCAUAAAGUCAGAACCAUGCGUUUGGUUUUGCGACAGUGUUUGGGUCGAUGGCGCUUUUGGUUGUCGCAGGACUCUGACAGAUAAACAGACGGAUGUGUCGUCCCCUCAGUGGAGGAAAUCUGCUCUCCGUAUAGAGCCAAACUGACAUCAGAGAUACCAUGUGUGAACGCAACAUGCGACAAAACAGAGAGAAGUGCGAGUUCUCCUGGAAAUGCACAUGAUGACACAAUGUAGAGCAAAUGCAUGGAUGCUGAGGCUGGGAGAUUGUUACGAUUUCAUUGAUUGAUUUUGAUGUAAUGUUUUGAAAGCUAAAUGGUACAAUUAAAUAUGUUGUAUAUGCAACAGUGAUGAUAAAUGCAAUAGCCAAACGAAUGAAAGCUUGUUUCUAAUAAUAAAUAUAAUAGAGAAAAAC
rnacentral:lncRNA from 1 species